rnacentral:lncRNA from 1 species
UUUUUUUUCCCCCAGAGAGCAGCUUGCCUAAGGUGUUCACAUAUCCACCCACUGAAAUUUAAUCAUUAAUGUAGCACAUUGCCAGAGAGAUGAAAGGCAACAAACUGGCAUAAGUUAGUUACAUCUCAGGAGAAAAACCAACAUAACAAAGUCCUGUCAGAGUAAGAGAUAGGAACUCAAGGACAACAUGGAUUUUGUUUUGCACCAAAGAAAGGUUUCUACUGACCAACUUACACUUAUUUAUUCGUUUUCUCAUUUUCUUUACCAGCACUACCACCAAUAUGACUGAUGACAUAAAUUUUUAAAGUAAAGGAUGAUAAAAAUGGUGAAGUCUGACAUAACUGCUAGAAGGAGGAUAAGGACUAUUUUGCAAGGCUGUUCUAACAUUUUGUGUUUUAAAUAUAUAGGAAAAUAAUGUUACUGUCAACAUGAAUACAAAGGCUUGCAGGAGACAAUUUGAAGGCACUAGUGAAGGUGCUAGAUCAUCAAAAGCAGAGUCACAAGUUCAAAUACCUACAAGGCCACACAGGUAAUGUAAGUAAUGGAACUGGUCUAACAUAAAAACAUAGGGAGUGGUCCUACAUCGGAAAGCACCUGCUCUGCUUGGAAAUGCAGCCCUACUCUACACCAUCAGGUCACUGCUGUGAGGGAAUUGAAGAAUGUAGUGCCAGAUCUGAUUUUUCAAGAGAAUCUGAAAAUCUGGAUUCUUAUGUUAAUUCUUUAAAUUUUUAUCAAACUGAAAAGGACAAAAGAAAAUCAAAUAUAAGCCAUCUUGAGCUCAAAAGUUGCUAUGUGUGAUCUCUGUUCUAGAAAGAAAAAAAUAAGGAAAAUAUUGCUCUGAAAUUCAGCUUGUAUUAACAAAAAUAUAACAAAGCUCUAGAAACACCAAUAUUUUUCAUCAUUAGCUCUGGGUUGUGAUGCAAUUUAGCUUACCCUUUUGUUUAAUGUUGAAGAAAAAAUACACAGAAUUACCCUGGGCAGGCAUUGUUUGUCAACGGAGGGGACCCAAAGGUCACCGGGACCUGGGGUCAACUUGGAUAUUGGUCUCGAUGCCUGAACCACUGGAGCAAAACCAGGCAUUAUAAAUUAGAAACUCUUCAGAAAAGGCCCUUGUUUAAUUUCCUAAUCUUGGUGCACAUAGCCUUAAGAGGGAGAGGAAUGUGAUUUUAAUCUCUUUUUCCUAUGUAAAUGUCACUCAAAUGUAUCAGCAUAUUUGAAGAGUAUGCUUAUGUUACUUCCAGUCCCUCUAUGACCUGAAAUGUCAACACAUAGUCAAUAGCUCAUUUCCUGUUGAUCUUUUAGAACUAAUUUUUUUUAAUGAAACCAAUUUUUUUUAAUUGAAGUAUGGUCAACAAACACUAAGAUUCAUUUUUUAAACUCUCCUGCUCCCUAUUAAUACAAACACUGCUGUAGGCUCUGCAUACACCUUUCAGGCAAUUGGAUGUCUUCCAGGAUCACCCACUCACCUCCCAUCAGCAUGACCUGGUUGUUUCUCAGUCUUCAAAAUGGAUGCAAGCUGGGACUAAGCUCUACUUAACAGAGAUCCUCCCUUAUCCUCCAGAGUUUACUUUCUUUAGUCCAUGAAAGAGCAAUUUAUUAGACAUCCUCUCAACACAAUUGAUUUGCAGUGAACUUUGCCUCGGUCUUUAAGCAACUUUAGCUUUCGUCCACGAAGUCAAGUAAUCCCAGUGUCACAGAUAAAACUUGCUAAGUAGUUUAAUUUGACCACAAUAGUUGACCCAAAUUUCAAGUCCUUAUGAACAAGAUUCUUCCAGCACUAGUUAAAUUUGGUCUAGAUUUUGCCAUUUUGGAAAAUUUUCUGAAGUUCAUAUUGCGUUAUAAUGUCUUGCCAAAUGAAGCACUGACCAUUUUCUACUUUUUUGGUAAAAUCUCUCCUUUUCUAAUAGUAUGACUCCAAAAGGAGAUUUCAAUUGGUGCUUUUCACUGUGUUCUGAGUAAAGAUUUGUAGGAUAUGAAAUAUUAAAAGGUGUAGGCAGAACAAAGAAAGUGCAACAGAUAAAGAAAAAUGUUCUUUGCUGAAGCUCACUAAACACUUAUUUCCUUCUCAAGAAAAUCAAAUUUGCAAAUGUCCCUCAACAUCAAGAACUGUAUCUAGCUCAGCAGAUUGCAGUGGACUCUCCAUAUGCAUUAUUGACUUCCUUCUUCAAGGACUGUGAGUGAAAUCAAGUAAAUUUUCUCAAACAGUCAGUUCCAGAAACUCCUCUUUGGUGAGUGUGAAGAGCAACAGCAGAUAGAUAGAUAAUAUAAAUCACAAAGUAGGUGAGAAUUAUUCACUACAAAUCAGUUAUCAUUUUUGAACAGUACAAAAUGUAAGGAUUACAUAUAUUCUACAUAAAUACAUAUGUACAUAUAGAUAUUGUAUGUGAGUGUGGAGGAUUGAGGGGGAGAAUAUUACAGGAAUAUAUGAGAAAAAGACUCCAAGGAGAAGAGAGUUUUAGGAGAGGAAGAGAAAAGUAGACAUAAAAAUAAAUAAAAAUUAGAAUGUGAACUUCUUUUCAAAAAGAAUCUUGCGGUUUGAAAUGGCCAGUAUUCUGUGGAAUACUAGCUGUGCAAAACUGACAGCUUUGAGAGAGAGAGAAUGAAUGAAUCCAACACCAACUCCCAUAAGGCAGGAAGAUGAGGAUCUCACCACAUGGAACUAGAUUGGGACUUCAAAAUCAAGAAAAUAUUAUGAGGAGAAAUCCUUUCAUUUUAUAAUAAGCCGAACACUGCUCAGUCAUUAAAGAGUUCACUAACACAGUUGACUGGGAAGGGGAAAAAUGGGAGCUCUCCUUCUCCCUACAACAUUCUAAAGCUAAUUUUUAAAUAUCAUAUUUUUGUGGUCAUAUCUUUAGUCUGUGCCAGGAACAUCUAUUGAAGUCCACAGGGUCCUGUUCCUUCCAAACAAAUUGAAAAUUUAAAUAAGGAAAGAAUGUAGAUAAAAUAAAUAUCAUACUUAUUAUCCAAAAAGACUGAGUUAGAGGACAUAGCUUAUAGUGAGAACCAUGACAGCCCUGCUAGCGAAACCCAAGACUUUAUCACCUUGCUACAGCAACAUAAACAGCAGAAGCUCUCCUCACUGCUUCCUGAGGCAGCCUGCCCCCAAUAUGGAAAAAAAUGGGAGGGGAGAUAGAACAGAGAUAAAUAUAGGAAGUACAUUUUUCCUAAAUUCUCCCAUCACAUAAGUGAACCUUACUCGCCAGGAACAAAGUGCGUAAAGAAAUGAAGAGAUGCAAGGAGCAUUAGGCACAGUCUUGUAGCAUGGACCUAUAUUAGAGGUGACGGUGUAAGGAAGUUACAUUCCCACCUAACAGUAUUUGCAAGAACACGUUUGAAAAAUAGCUCCUACUCAUUCUAUUGUAAUAAACAUUCCCACAUAUCACAAAUAAUGGAAUAAUAGAAUUUUGGCCAGAUUCUUUAUCUAGGCCUUCAGUUCAGUAAAUAGGAGAAAUUAUACUUAGAAAGAAAAGAUGAGUUAUAGGUGAGAUACAAGAACUUAAGGAAAUCGUACCUGUCUUUGGAUGGACUAAAUACUAUCAGUUUCUUAACUCCCAUUAAUUCUCCCUAAAAUCAUUAAUUCUAGAAUUUAGUUCAAGAGUCGUCACCAUUUUACUAGGUCAUAACACUAACUAAUGCCCAUCGGAUCCACUACACCAAAAAUACUGAUAGGAGUAUUCUCUCCUGACUCUUCCAUCAUCAAGUCAGUACGUUGUGUUUUUUAAGAACAUAAGGAGUCAACUCUGAGCAGAAGAAAGAGCAUUGAUUAGUCACAAAGCGUCUUUUUAUUUAAAUCUCUAAUCUGUCAUUUCCUUACCCCAUGGCCCUGGAUACAUCUGGGUCAUUUCUCUUCUCUCUAAAAUGUAGGAGUUGGGCAAAGCAAUUUCUGGGGGCUCCUUCAGGUCUAAAGUUUCAUAUUGUUAUUCAUAAUCAUUUCUAAUGUUAUUAAUAUUUUCAAACAUAUAUGAACCAAGUUGAAGCCAUUUUGAAAUAUCUUCAUAUUUGAUUUUCUGUUUACCAAUAUUUUCCCAGGCUCCUGUAGAUCCUAUAAUAUGUAUUUACAUAUUAUAUAGCCUGCUCUACAUAUGUACACCAUAUUCUGUAUGAAAAUAGCAACACAGAUUAUCGGUUUGGGGGUAAUCAUCGCUAAAGGGUUUUUUCUCAGUAGUAAGUACUUAACCUUUUUUCAACACCUACUUAUACAAAACUGUACUCUUCCUUAACAAUAGUCCUAUUUUCACAGCAAGGAAUGUCAAUGCUGAGCAUGUACACCAAAAUAAAUAUAAGCCUCAGCCAUGCCAUUGUACAAGAAAUUACUCUUGAGUGAUCAAUAGAAAUGUGUUGCCAACACAUAAGCUGAUUGUUAAAACUGAAUAAGCACUUAGAGAGAACUAGGUAUUGAAUAAAUAUGAACAGGAAUAUUAAAUUAUCCUUGUUACAUUGCAAGAAAGCUUGACUAUAAGGAUUUACCUUCUCCAAAUAUUUGAAGAGCAUAAGCUGAUUACAAUGAAAAGUGCAAAGCUAAAUAAACAGCAAAACAAGAAAGUGCAUAAUACAUAAUAUUAGAAGUUUGGGAACCACAGCAUUGGGAAAUCUCCAUGAGUUCUAUUAGCAUUUCUACUAGCAAUAUUCAGAAAACAUAGACAUGGACUUCUCAAAUUAUACACCAUUGAUACUAGAAAUAGCUUCUCUUUUCUAUUUCUC